CAGUCGCCGCGGUAAUACGGAGGAUCCAAGCGUUAUCCGGAUUUAUUGGGUUUAAAGGGUGCGUAGGUGGCUUAUUAAGUCAGGGGUGAAAGACGGUAGCUUAACUAUCGCAGUGCCUUUGAUACUGAUGAGCUUGAAUGAACUAGAGGUAGGCGGAAUGUGACAAGUAGCGGUGAAAUGCAUAGAUAUGUCACAGAACACCAAUUGCGAAGGCAGCUUACUAUGGUUUUAUUGACACUGAGGCACGAAAGCGUGGGGAUCAAACAGGAUUAGAUACCCCUGUAGUCCCUGUCUCUUAUAA
rnacentral:rRNA from 1 species